CGAAUAACAGAUAUAGGG
rnacentral:snRNA from 1 species